GACGUAGGGCGCGAGCGUUGUCCGGAUUUAUUGGGCGUAAAGAGCUCGUAGGCGGCUUGUCGCGUCGAAUGUGAAAUCUCAGGGCUCAACUCUGACAUUGCAUUCGAUACGGGCAGGCUAGAGUUCGGUAGGGGAGACUGGAAUUCCUGGUGUAGCGGUGAAAAUGCGCAGAUAUCAGGAGGAACACCGGUGGCGAAGGCGGGUCUCUGGGCCGAUACUGACGCUGAGGAGCGAAAGCGUGGGGAGCGAACAGG
rnacentral:rRNA from 1 species